rnacentral:rRNA from 1 species
GGAACUAGAUGUGGGGACCUUUCCACGGUCUCCGUGUCGCAGCUAACGCAUUAAGUUCCCCGCCUGGGGAGUACGGCCGCAAGGCUAAAACUCAAAGGAAUUGACGGGGGCCCGCACAAGCGGCGGAGCAUGCGGAUUAAUUCGAUGCAACGCGAAGAACCUUACCAAGGCUUGACAUAUACCGGAAACUUCCAGAAAUGGUUGCCCCGCAAGGUCGGUAUACAGGUGGUGCAUGGUUGUCGUCAGCUCGUGUCGUGAGAUGUUGGGUUAAGUCCCGCAACGAGCGCAACCCUCGUUCUAUGUUGCCAGCACGUCAUGGUGGGAACUCAUAGGAGACUGCCGGGGUCAACUCGGAGGAAGGUGGGGAUGACGUCAAAUCAUCAUGCCCCUUAUGUCUUGGGCUUCACGCAUGCUACAAUGGCCGGUACAAAGGGCUGCGAUACCGUAAGGUGGAGCGAAUCCCAAAAAGCCGGUCUCAGUUCGGAUUGAGGUCUGCAACUCGACCUCAUGAAGUCGGAGUCGCUAGUAAUCGCAGAUCAGCAACGCUGCGGUGAAUACGUUCCCGGGCCUUGUACACACCGCCCGUCAAGUCAUGAAAGUCGGUAACACCCGAAGCCAGUGGCCUAACCGCAAGGAGGGAGCUGUCGAAGGUGGGA